rnacentral:rRNA from 1 species
GACGAACGCUGGCGGCGUGCUUAACACAUGCAAGUCGAACGAAGUGGCGAACGGGUGAGUAACGCGUAAUCAACCUGCCCUUCAGAGGGGGACAACAGUGGGAAACGACUGCUAAUACCGCAUACUGAAGGAGGGGAUUGCGUCUGAGUAGCUAGUUGGAGGGGUAACGGCCAACCAAGGCGAUGAUCAGUCGCCGGUCUGCGAGGAUGAACGGCCAAAUUGGGACUGAGACACGGCCCAGAGUCCUACGGGAGGCAGCAGUGGGGAAUCUUCCUACAUGGACGAAAGUCUGACGGAGCAACGCCGCGUGAGUGAUUACGGCCUUCGGGUUGUAAAGCUCUGUUAAGCGGGACGCGGUACCGGAAGAGAAAGCCACGGCUAACUACGUGCCAGCAGCCGCGGUAAUUC